AUAACGGUCCUAAGGUAGCGAAAUUCCUUGUCGGGUAAGUUCCGACCUGCACGAAAGGCGCAACGACUUGGGCGCUGUCUCGACCAUGGACCCGGUGAAAUUGCACUGGUCGUGAAGAUGCGACUUACCCGCGGAAGGACGGAAAGACCCCGUGAACCUUCACUGCAGCUUGGCAUUGGCCGCUGGUCCCGCGUGUAGAGGAUAGGCAGGAGGCACAGAUCCGGAGGCGCCAGCCCCCGGGGAGCCGCCCUUGGAAUACUGCCCUCGCGCGACCGGCGUCCUAACCCGAGGCCGUCAUCCGGCUCGGGGACCGUGCCAGGCGGGCAGUUUGACUGGGGCGGUCGCCUCCUAAAGGGUAACGGAGGCGCGCGAAGGUCCGCUCGGGACGGUCGGCAACCGUCCUUUUGAAUGCAAGAGUACAAGCGGGCUUGACUGCGAGGCCCACAAGCCGAGCAGGUGCGAAAGCAGGCUCUAGUGAUCCGGCGGCCCCGAGUGGGUGGGCCGUCGCUCAACGGAUAAAAGGUACUCCGGGGAUAACAGGCUGAUCUUGCCCAAGAGUCCACAUCGACGGCAAGGUUUGGCACCUCGAUGUCGGCUCAUCGCAUCCUGGGGCUGGAGCAGGUCCCAAGGGUACGGCUGUUCGCCGUUUAAAGCGGUACGCGAGCUGGGUUCAGAACGUCGUGAGACAGUUCGGUCCCUAUCCUCCGUGGGCGCAGGAGAAUCGAUGGAGGCUGCCCCCAGUACGAGAGGACCGGGGUGGACGCACCUCCGGUGAACCGGUUGUCGACCAACGGCACGGCCGGGUAGCCGCGUGCGGCGCGGAUAACCGCUGAAGGCAUCUAAGCGGGAAGCCGUUCCAGGGAUUAGUUCUCCUUCCGGUAAGGGCCCAGGUAGACUACCUGGUCGAUAGACGGCAGGUGCAAGGCUGGCGACAGCCUCAGCCGAGCCGCACUAAUCGCCCGAGCUCUUCCGGAA
rnacentral:rRNA from 1 species